rnacentral:rRNA from 1 species
UACGGAGGGGGCUAGCGUUGUUCGGAAUUACUGGGCGUAAAGCGCACGUAGGCGGCUUUGUAAGUUAGAGGUGAAAGCCCGGAGCUCAACUUCGGAAUUGCCUUUAAGACUGCAUCGCUUGAAUCAUGGAGAGGUCAGUGGAAUUCCGAGUGUAGAGGUGAAAUUCGUAGAUAUUCGGAGGAACACCAGUGGCGAAGGCGGCCCCCUGGCACAACACUGACGCUCAGGUGCGAAAGCGUGGGGAGCAAACAGG